GUGCCAGCCGCCGCGGUAAGACAGAGGGUGCAAACGUUGCUCGGAAUUACUGGGCGUAAAGCGCGUGUAGGCGGGCCGAUAAGUCAGACGUGAAAUCCCUGAGCUCAACUCAGGAACUGCAUCUGAAACUGCCGGUCUAGAGUGGUGGAGAGGGAAGCGGAAUUCCUGGUGUAGAGGUGAAAUUCGUAGAUAUCAGGAGGAACACCGGUGGCGAAGGCGACUUCCUGGACACCAACUGACGCUGAGACGCGAAAGCGUGGGGAGCAAACAGGAUUAGAAACCCCAGUAGUCC
rnacentral:rRNA from 1 species